GGCUGGGGGAGCAGGGCAUUGUGUUUGCUUUGUUUUUUGUUUGUCAUUUCCACAGAGCCUCUGAAUUUCCUGAUUUCACUUGGGAAUAGAAGUUUUUCCUGAGGACCUUGACCUCAGCUCCAAAUCCUGUAUUAAGCAGGGGAAGCUAUGAGCCAGCAUCUGAUAUUUUGCUAGUCACAAAGGUCUUUAAGAAGUGGAGCCAUGAACGUCACUACUGGGAAGUCUCCAAGCUCCAUCUCUGGGAAGUCACUGGCUGGGCUUGGUGACCGUGCACAUAAAGCAUGUUACUGCAAGCAGGACAUGAACUAGGAUCCUUUGCCAGAUGAGCCAAAAGGCAGCCUACUCCCAAUGAGCCGAAAUAGAUGCCCAAGGAGCUGAUGUCAUCAACAGCACUACCCAUGAUGCUCCAGCUGCCAGAGUGGAUCCUGAGAUUUUCCCAGAUUCUAAUAAGGGACCCAGGUACAGAAUAUGGUCCAGAAAGGAAGAGAUGCUUUGUUUUCAAGGAUGAACCACUUUCCAUAGAAAUGGGUUGUUUCAUCUUUACGGCUAAGAAUCGGUGUCAGAAGUACCCUGGGAGGCACAAUGUAACCCCUACCACUGGGAAACUUCAGAGGAGACAGAGAAGCCACAUAGAAGAUCCUAAGAAGUGUCUGAGCCUCCAAAGUCAAUGUGCUAGCUGCUGGUCUCAGCAAGGAAGAGAACAUUUGUCAUUAAGG